rnacentral:tRNA from 1 species
AGGGCCUUAGUUUAAUUAAAACAUUUGAUUUGCAAUUAAGGGAUGUGGAGUAAAAUCUGCAGGUCCUA